rnacentral:rRNA from 1 species
GAUGAACGCUGGCGGCGUGCCUAAUACAUGCAAGUCGAGCGAACAGAUGAGGAGCUUGCUCCUCUGACGUUAGCGGCGGACGGGUGAGUAACACGUGGAUAACCUACCUAUAAGACUGGGAUAACUUCGGGAAACCGGAGCUAAUACCGGAUAAUAUAUUGAACCGCAUGGUUCAAUAGUGAAAGACGGUUUUGCUGUCACUUAUAGAUGGAUCCGCGCCGCAUUAGCUAGUUGGUAAGGUAACGGCUUACCAAGGCAACGAUGCGUAGCCGACCUGAGAGGGGGACCGGGCACAUGGGGACGGAGAGACGGGCCAGAGCCGUACGGGGGGUAGCGGUGGGGAAUAUGGCACAAUGGGAGGAAGGCGGAUGAAGGAAGGCCGAGUCAGGGAUGACGGCCUGCGGGUGAGAAACCGCUAGCGCCUGUAACGAAGCGUGAGUGACGGUAAUGGGUAAGGAAGCACGGGCUCACUACGUG